GAUGAACGCUGGCGGCGGGCCUAAUACAUGCAAGUCGAGCGAACGGAGGGGGCUUUUGCCCGGCUUCCGUUGCGGGCGGGCGGGUGAUGACUAGGAGUCUAACUUGCCGUUAAGGCUGGCGUAACUUCGGGAACCCUAAUCUAAUACCGGUCAUGAUAUUGAACGGGGUGGUUCAUUGGACAACACGGUUUUUGCUGUGCCUAGGUGGUGGAUCCGCGUCGCAUUAGCUAGUUGGUACGGUAACGGCCUACCAAGGCAACGAUGCGUAGCUGACCUGAGAGGGUGAUCGGCCACACUGGAACUGAGACACGGUCCAGACUCCUACGGGAGGCAGCAGUAGGGAAUCUUCCGCAAUGGGCGAAAGCCUGACGGAGCCACGCCGCGUGAGUGAUGAAGGUCUUCGGAUCGUAAAACUCUGUUAUUAGGGAAGAACAAAUGUGUAAGUAACUAUGCACGUCUUGACGGUACCUAAUCAGAAAGCAACGGCUAACUACGUG
rnacentral:rRNA from 1 species